UGCUACAGGAGGAUGGCAAGCUGCUCCUUCAGACCCUACUAGAGGUCAGAUAUUUAUGCAUGUAUUGUUCCCAUCAGCAAAAAAAUAUGUGGUUUAGACAGACUCUGUGUGCAUUAGUGGUUGCCAUUUUACACAAGUAGGUGACGACAGGUGACUUUUAUCAGUGAGUCAUUGAAUAAUUUAUUCUGAGGGUGUGCAGCUGGAAAUAAUUGAAAAAAAGAGGAAUGAUUCAAAGCCGGUUCAUGAACACUAGAAAAUUGUCAAUGUCUGCAACCCUAGUUAUACACAUGUAUGAAUAUCUAUAUCUGCAAUAGACUUCAGCAGAUGAUUUAGCUAAACUGACACAACAUUUAAAAGAGGCUGUGCAAUGUUGUGGCAUCUUGAAACUCAUUGAUUUUUAUUGAGAGUGACGACACAUUGACUGUUCCAAGAAGACAGACGCGUCGACAUGUCUGGAGCAGUCGCAUGUGGCAUCUACCAAUACAUAUCUAGAUUCACUUAACCAUUUUAUUCCAAUAAACUGAUCCAAUCACGAUUAA